rnacentral:rRNA from 1 species
UACGUAGGGUCCGAGCGUUGUCCGGAAUUACUGGGCGUAAAGAGCUCGUAGGCGGUUUGUCGCGUCUGCUGUGAAAACUGGGGGCUCAACCCCCAGCCUGCAGUGGGUACGGGCAGACUAGAGUGCGGUAGGGGAGAUUGGAAUUCCUGGUGUAGCGGUGGAAUGCGCAGAUAUCAGGAGGAACACCGAUGGCGAAGGCAGAUCUCUGGGCCGUAACUGACGCUGGAGGAGACGAAGCAUGGGGAGCGAACAGG